rnacentral:rRNA from 1 species
UGGGGAAUUUUGGACAAUGGGCGCAAGCCUGAUCCAGCCAUGCCGCGUGCGGGAAGAAGGCCUUCGGGUUGUAAACCGCUUUUGUCAGGGAAGAAAUCUUCUGAGUUAAUACCUCGGGAGGAUGACGGUACCUGAAGAAUAAGCACCGGCUAACUACGUGCCAGCAGCCGCGGUAAUACGUAGGGUGCAAGCGUUAAUCGGAAUUACUGGGCGUAAAGCGUGCGCAGGCGGUUUUGUAAGACAGAGGUGAAAUCCCCGGGCUCAACCUGGGAACUGCCUUUGUGACUGCAAGGCUUGAGUGCGGCAGAGGGGGAUGGAAUUCCGCGUGUAGCAGUGAAAUGCGUAGAUAUGCGGAGGAACACCGAUGGCGAAGGCAAUCCCCUGGGCCUGCACUGACGCUCAUGCACGAAAGCGUGGGGAGCAAACAGGAUUAGAUACCCUGGUAGUCCACGCCCUAAAACGAUGUCAACUGGUUGUUGGGAAGGUUCCUUCUCAGUAACGUAGCUAACGCGUGAAGUUGACCGCCUGGGGAGUACGGCCGCAAGGUUGAAACUUAAAUGAAUUGACGGGGUCAUAGCUGUUUCC